GAUGAACGCUGGCGGCGUGCCUAAUACAUGCAAGUCGAGCGAACAGAUGAGGAGCUUGCUCCUCUGACGUUAGCGGCGGACGGGUGAGUAACACGUGGAUAACCUACCUAUAAGACCGGGAUAACUUCGGGAAACCGGAGCUAAUACCGGAUAAUAUAUUGAACCGCAUGGUUCAAUAGUGAAAGACGGUUUUGCUGUCACUUAUAGAUGGAUCCGCGCCGCAUUAGCUAGUUGGUAAGGUAACGGCUUACCAAGGCAACGAUGCGUAGCCGACCUGAGAGGGUGAUCGGCCACACUGGAACUGAGACACGGUCCAGACUCCUACGGGAGGCAGCAGUAGGGAAUCCUCCGCAAUGGGCGAAAGCCUGACGGAGCAACGCCGCGUGAGUGAUGAAGGUCUUCGGAUCGUAAAACUCUGUUAUUAGGGAAGAACAAAUGUGUAAGUAACUAUGCACGUCUUGACGGUACCUAAUCAGAAAGCCACGGCUAACUACGUG
rnacentral:rRNA from 1 species